rnacentral:rRNA from 2 species
GGCGUGUCUAUACUGCAAGUCGAACGCAAUCUUUGACUAAUGAGUGCUUGCACUCAGCAGUUAAAGUGCGAGUGGCGAACGGGUGAGUAACACGUGGGCAAUCUGCCCAAAAGUGGGGGAUAACACUUGGAAACAGGUGCUAAUACCGCAUCAACCGGCUGACCGCAUGGUCGGCCGGGCAAAGACGGCGUCAGCUGUCGCUUUUGGAUGAGCCCGCGGCGUAUUAACUAGUUGGUAAGGUAACGGCUUACCAAGGUGAUGAUACGUAGCCGAACUGAGAGGUUGAUCGGCCACAUUGGGACUGAGACACGGCCCAAACUCCUACGGGAGGCAGCAGUAGGGAAUCUUCCACAAUGGACGCAAGUCUGAUGGAGCAACGCCGCGUGUAUGAAGAAGGUCUUCGGAUCGUAAAAUACUGUUGUCAGAGAAGAACACGUGAUAAAGUAACUGCUAUGGCGCUGACGGUAUCUGACCAGCAAGUCACGGCUAACUACGUGCCAGCAGCCGCGGUAAUACGUAGGUGGCAAGCGUUGUCCGGAUUUAUUGGGCGUAAAGGGAACGCAGGCGGUCUUUUAAGUCUGAUGUGAAAGCCUUCGGCUUAACCGGAGAAGUGCAUUGGAAACUGGAAGACUUGAGUGCAGAAGAGGAGAGUGGAACUCCAUGUGUAGCGGUGAAAUGCGUAGAUAUAUGGAAGAACACCAGUGGCGAAAGCGGCUCUCUGGUCUGUAACUGACGCUGAGGUUCGAAAGCGUGGGGAGCGAACAGGAUUAGAUACCCUGGUAGUCCACGCUGUAAACGAUGAAUGCUAGGUGUUGGAGGGUUUCCGCCCUUCGGUGCCGCAGCUAACGCACUAAGCAUUCCGCCUGGGGAGUACGAUCGCAAGAUUGAAACUCAAAGGAAUUGACGGGGGCCCGCACAAGCGGUGGAGCAUGUGGUUUAAUUCGAAGCAACGCGAAGAACCUUACCAGGUCUUGACA